rnacentral:RNase_P_RNA from 1 species
CAAGUAAAUUGCCUUAUCGAACCAGGCUAGCCUGGUUAGGAAAGUCCGAACACCACAGUGUACUAUAGUGGUUAAUAGCCAUCAGUCGUGAGACUAGGAAUAGUGCAACAGAAAGAAUGUACAGGUGAAGCUGUAGUGAAAUCAGGUAAACUCUAUAGGGUGCAAUGUCAUGUAAACCAGCGUUUGAGUGCGGCACGCACGAUUGUUGGAGGGUAGGCAGCUAAAGUUUGUUGGCAACAAUAAAUGUAGAUAAAUGAUAAGGGCUCUUUUGAGAACAGAAUUCGGCUUACAAAUUUACUUACAAA